rnacentral:lncRNA from 1 species
CACUCUCUCCGGUUUGCAGAACAGAAAGGCCACAAGUCUCUCUUUGUCCACGUUCCUCUCUUUUCUAAGAUCGACAAAGAGACCCAGAUGCAAUUUGCUGCCUCCCUUCUGGAGGCCAUUGCAGCUACAUGCUGAUAGAUGUUGAUGGGAGUGUGAAACUCAAUAUUGAUAGAUGAUGGGAGUGUGAAACUCAUCUUUGGGGUUACAAAUACCGGAUGUAAAUGUACUCUACUUGUGUUAUUAUAAAAUACUAAAACCUUUGGACUUUGAGUUGUUGCCAAUAUUAAGAGGAAAAUGGACAUUCAGCU